rnacentral:rRNA from 1 species
UAGGGAAUAUUGGGCAAUGGACGGAAGUCUGACCCAGCCAUGCCGCGUGCAGGAAGAAGGCGCUCAGCGUUGUAAACUGCUUUUAUCGGGGAAGAACGGCAGUCCUGCGGGAUUGUGUGACGGUACUCGAGGAAUAAGCACCGGCUAACUCCGUGCCAGCAGCCGCGGUAAUACGGAGGGUGCGAGCGUUGUCCGGAUUUAUUGGGUUUAAAGGGUGCGUAGGUGGUUGAGUAAGUCUGGUUUGAAAGUCAGUCGCUUAACGAUUGAGGGUGGCUGGAUACUGCUGAACUUGAAUGCCCUGGAGGUAGGUGGAACGGGUUGUGUAGCGGUGAAAUGCAUAGAUAUAUGGAGGAACACCGGUGGCGAAAGCGGCUCUCUGGACUGUCACUGACACUGAGGCUCGAAAGCGUGGGUAGCAACCA